GAUUGAAAAAUCGAAAAUUCUAAAAGUGCCGACUACUGGUACAAUUACCAUAUUGACGAUUUAAAGCUGCCCUCAGACACACCAACAGUUGGCCCAACUUGUCACUUUUAAGUUGUAUGAAAAAGUUGGUCGGUCUCCUCGCACGUACCAACUUUUCAUACAACUGUGUACCAACUUUUUAUUUACAAAGUAUUUUUGAAGCGUCAACAUGAACUCGGAUGCUCUUGCGCUACUUGGAAUUGAUAUAGUUUUAGAGGAAGAAGAAGAAAGACAACAGCUUAUGUAUGUGCUGCUUCACCAAAGUCAAGACAUAAAUGAAGAAAACACUGAAGUUGGUACAACUUUCCCGCGCACGCACCAACAGUUGGACCAACUUACGAAAUUAUCAAAAAUUUUUGAUAUUUCCAACCAACUUCAACCAACUUUCGAAAAAGUUGUACAACUAGCCAUCAGACGCACCAAUAGUUGUACCAACUUGUCACAAGUUGGGCCAACUGUUGGUGUGUCUGAGGGCAGCUUAAAUCACAUUUUCUAACGGACAAGUUAGAGUAUCAUGCCUAUUAACAGUUGGCCACCAACCAGUGGUUCAUUCAUUCAUUUCACUCCGUAUGUGAUUAGGUUCUUUGGAUACUUAUUUAGAUCAUAUGUAGAUUGUCGUGUGCUACUUAGCUUUUUCAUUGGUGUCCCUUAUAUUUGGUUCAUCUUACGUGUUUGUACAAGCACAUUCGUUUUCUAUUUUUUUUUUCAAAUUAUCCAAGGGAAAUUGUUGAAUGAAUCCUCAUAAAUAUAUUUUUGGAAUGAUGGAACAUAAGACUAUUUCUGAUAUAAUUUAAAUAUACUUUUUAUUGAUGGACAAUAUUUAAGUCAUUUCUUAUGCAUACUAUAUUCGCUGUAAUCGGCCUGAGGGGCUUGUGUACGUUUUUGCAGAUCGUAACGGGCUCUAACUUCGGUGGCAGAACAUUUGUAUUUAUAUGUCCAUGCAUUCUUAUAACACCCAUAUAUUUUCUGCAGGAAAUUCAAACGAGAGAAACUCUUAUAGCACGUGGGGAUUUCGGGAGUGGAGUGGAACAUUUGGCAAACGCUCUAGUUCUUUGUGGACAACCCACGCGUUUAUUCCAGACAAGUAUUUGCUAUGCUUAUAUUAAAAAUGCAAGAAUUCAGAAAUAGAUCAAGUGGUGAAACUGAAGAAGUUCCAAAUAUUGUAUCGGCUAACAAAUCUGAUAUGGCACCUGUGGGAAUGAGUGGUUCAGCAGGAGGCCUAAUAACUCAUGACAAAAGUUGACUGUUUCAGACUUAUAUUAUGAAUUGUUCCCUAAUGAAUUUUUAAAAUGGUUUAGUUGUUGGAUUCUAAAUAAAAGAAAAUAUUAUUCAUCUUGUUAUGGGA